UACGGAGGGUGCAAGCGUUAUCCGGAUUCACUGGGUUUAAAGGGUGCGUAGGUGGGCAGGUAAGUCAGUGGUGAAAUCUCCGGGCUUAACUCGGAAACUGCCAUUGAUACUAUCUGUCUUGAAUACCGUGGAGGUUAGCGGAAUAUGUCAUGUGGCGGUGAAAUGCUUAGAUAUGACAUAGAACACCAAUUGCGAAGGCAGCUGGCUACACGAAUAUUGACACUGAUGCACGAAAGCGUGGGGAUCAAACAGG
rnacentral:rRNA from 1 species